AUGCAGUAUUUUCAUUAUUUCAGAAUGCUUAAAAUGCAUAUUUUAAGAUUUAAGAUGCAGAGAGAAGUUAACCAGGUACCAGGGCUGUUUAAACUGCCUCUUCUCCAAUGGUGGCCACUGCUUCCUCCUUCCCAGCAAGUGGAGGUAAUUGGAAUAAGAAUAUUCAUUCCUUUCCGAUAUUGCCCAAGUGUUUCUUUCUCUGCCACGUGUCUCCUUAUACCAUCAGACAAAUCAAGCAUGCCCUCUCUGCCCCACUGAACCUUUGCUAAAUGCACAUUAUAGUACUAUCUAGCAGUGGUAUAAUUAUUAGUCUCCUCUGGAUUGUGAACUAUGUGAGGGCAAGAAUUUUCAUUUAUCUUUGCAUUUCGAAUUCAUAUCAAAGUGCUUUGUACAUUGCAGGUACCCAGUAGGUGUGGAAGACUUCAUGCAUAUGAUUAAUUUGCACUUCACAUACUUAACGGGUUGAUUAAGUUUUAUAGAUUGGCUUGAAACCUAAUCAUCUUCAGUACUCUUGGUGAAAGGAGGUGAAUGCGAAGAUUUGAACAACGUACUUCUCCUGAAACUAAUGUUACACUAUAUGUUGACUAACUGGAAUUGAAAUACAAACUUGAAACAAAAUAAAAAACAACCUACUUAAUAUUAACUUUUGAAU
rnacentral:lncRNA from 1 species